GUUCAGACAGUACAGAAAUAUAAAUGGUACAGGGUUAGUUAGUAAAGACAAAGAAAAGAUUCUAGAAAGUACUUAGCACAUCAGUUGAUUUCUUGUUGCGGGGGCUUUGGAGCAAAGUCCUAAGGAUGACUAUGAGCAUCUGAUUUCAAGACGGGAAGAGAGAGUCAAGAGGAAGAACACACAGACAAGCGAAUUCCAGAAGACACAGAGAGAACCUGGAGAAUGGGGGAUGACUCAGAGAUGACGAUGUCAUCAGUGAGAAAGCUGAAGACUAGGAAGUGACCGCCUAGCAGGAAGAGAGACCUACACCCAGUGAGGCUUGUGCCCUAGGUCUCGGGAUGUGUGUGAAGUAAGUUGGUCUCCAGGUUCCCGAGAGAAUGUGUGUGUAGAGAUUUACCACAUAGCUGGCUCAGUUUGUUGCAUCCAAGCCCAGAGUAAGAAGAAGCCAUGUUCUAAGGCACAUGUCCCUGCCAGCAUGUGAGUCAUCAAGGACACUAAGACAACAAGCAAAUCUCUUCAAGUCACAGAGAAGGAUCUUGCUGAAAAGAAUUAGUGAAAAUUUCCCCAAUGGUGGACCCAUAAAUGGAGUCAUGGGCUUAGGGGAUGGAAAGCCCAUGGUGGAUAAACUGGUGUGUGUGUCAAGGCUGAUGGCUCAAUAUCAUAUGUUCAUGGUCCAUGGAUACCUACCGGAGGGAGGAGACAUUCCUGGAAGAAAGGAUGCCUGGUGCCUCAUUCAAGGUCAGCCCACAGGUAAAGUGGAUGGCACUGGAGAAGGAAACAUGACAGUUUCAGGAAACAUAAAAUAAUUUUUAAGGCCAUCUUCUUUGAGAUAAACAUCAAUUUUAAUAGGAGCUUAGAAGACAAAGCAAGGAAGGUAAUACUGACUGCUUCCAUAGUGGCUCCGAGAAUGACAGGAGAGAUGAAAUGUGCCUGAGGUUUCUUGCCAAGAAUCUGUUACCAACCACUCACUUCAGGAUAUUCACAACAUCCAGAAACCCUGGGACAGCAUCUCGAGGCCCAGGACUUGCC
rnacentral:lncRNA from 1 species